rnacentral:rRNA from 1 species
UUGAACGCUGGCGGCAGGCCUAACACAUGCAAGUCGAGCGGGGUUUUCGGACCUAGCGGCGGACGGGUGAGUAAUGCGUAGGAAGCUGCCCGAUAGAGGGGGAUACCAGUUGGAAACGACUGUUAAUACCGCAUAAUGUCUACGGACCAAAGUGUGGGACCUUCGGGCCACAUGCUAUCGGAUGCGCCUACGUGGGAUUAGCUAGUUGGUGAGGUAAUGGCUCACCAAGGCGACGAUCUCUAGCUGGUUUGAGAGGAUGAUCAGCCACACUGGAACUGAGACACGGUCCAGACUCCUACGGGAGGCAGCAGUGGGGAAUAUUGGACAAUGGGCGCAAGCCUGAUCCAGCCAUGCCGCGUGUGUGAAGAAGGCCUUCGGGUUGUAAAGCACUUUCAGCGAGGAGGAAGGGAUUGUAGUUAAUAGCUGCAAUUUUUGACGUUACUCGCAGAAGAAGCACCGGCUAACUCUGU